ensembl:snoRNA SNORD34 Small nucleolar RNA SNORD34
CAGCGUCCAUGAUGUUCUACAAUUACCUACAUUGUUUGAGCUUCGUGAAAACAACACUGGCUGAGACGCCC